GGAGGGAUGCUAGGAGAGGCUUACAAGCAAAGAACCUAUAGGAACAAAGGGGUCAGGAAAGUGAAUCUAGGUAAUGCGAUAAGAAUCUAUAGUCCCUGCUUAAACCAUACUUCGCACAGUCCAGCCUGUGGAUGAUUUCUUGUUCUGCAAUUUCUUGUUCAAACUGCUUUUUUUUUUCUUUUUUUGUUUUGUUUUGCCUGAGAACAGCAAUCCUGUGGUCCAGGGAAGUUGAAGUGUUCUGCCACUGGCUCUUGUGUCUUCCUGCGCCUGAUGUCAGAUCAGUGUUAAAAGUGAAACAGACUGAAAUUUUCCAUCAUUGAUCUCAAUCUAAAGAUAAACCUUAUUACAAAAAUGCUGCAUCUCUGCAUCACGGACUCAAGAGAACAAUCAUUUUGAGUUAUGCCAAUUACAUGUUACGAAACAAUAUAUAACAUUCUGCCUUUCACUCUACCAUUCGGUAAAAUCUGUAUUCUGUUCCUUUGAACACUGGAAAAAAUAUUUUGAUGUAACAUCUGCAUAACCAAGAAUUAGGGGUAUAGUUUGUAUAAUCAAAUUCCGUAGUGUUGUAAGAUGGAGGCAUAAUUUAAUCAGCUUACAAAAUUACUUUCAAGGAAUACAUUACAUAUAAAAACUCUAUUGCCUUCUUUAAGAUCUUUGCAAAAGUUGAAUACUAAUUGAUUAUUGUAGCCUAGUCUCUGCCACCAAAUGUGAUUCUCAAGCCAUAUAUAAUUUCUGUUUUUUCAAUAACACUGUUCAGAUAUCCCUCUAAAUAUUCCUCUCUCAACCACAUCCAUACCAGGCUAUACUAACAGAUGGAGUUUUAUGUACAACUGUCUUUUUUUUUGUAGCUGAUCAAAAUGAGCAACUAGACAAGACAGAAAUUUGCUGAAAUUCUGAUUUCUUUUUGCACUUUUAAAGAUUUUAUAACUUACCACUCAUUGAUUAUGCAAGGUCUCUGGUCUCCAGCAUCUGUUUGCUGCAUAUGGGAGCAAGGCAAACUCCUUUUUAUGUAACUGCACACAAUGAGACACAAAUACAUAUCUUGAGAAAAAGGAAUGGCACUAACGCAGCUUCCUUUGCAGGGUGAGACCCCCACCCCCUCUGAACUAGUACAGGGCAGAUGGAACCAGGAAGAGAGGAUGUACUGUACCAUACUCCCUGAGUGCUUAUAGAUAGAUAUGAUAAAGCCAAGUUUUUCCAGAUAGGAAAGAAGGGCUGUGUGUAGACAAAACAAAAGGAGUGUGUGCAUGACACUUUAAAGUGGGCUAAAUGCUUUUGCACUGCUUUAAUGGUGUUGGUGUUUGCACCCAUCAGUGGCAUAUUGCACAUUAAUUCCA